ensembl:snRNA U6 U6 spliceosomal RNA
GUGCUCACUUUGGCAGCACAUAUACUAAAAUUGGAACAAUGCAGAGAUUAGCAUGGCCCCUGUGCAAGGAUGACACACAAAUCCGAGAAGCAUUCCAUAUUUAA